UACGGAGGGUGCAAACGUUGCUCGGAAUCAUUGGGCGUAAAGCGCACGUAGGCGGCUCGUUAAGUCGGAUGUGAAAGCCCUGGGCUCAACCCAGGAAGUGCAUACGAAACUGGCGAGCUUGAGUAUGGAAGAGGGACGCGGAAUUCCCGGUGUAGAGGUGAAAUUCGUAGAUAUCGGGAGGAACACCAGUGGCGAAGGCGGCGACCUGGGCCAAUACUGACGCUGAGGUGCGAAAGCGUGGGGAGCAAACAGG
rnacentral:rRNA from 1 species